rnacentral:rRNA from 1 species
UGAGGAAUAUUGGACAAUGGGCGCAAGCCUGAUCCAGCCAUGCCGCGUGCAGGAUGAAGCAUCUAUGGUGUGUAAACUGCUUUUAUACGGGAAGAAGCCCCGCCUCGUGAGGCGGAAUGACGGUACCGUAAGAAUAAGGAUCGGCUAACUCCGUGCCAGCAGCCGCGGUAAUACGGAGGAUCCAAGCGUUAUCCGGAAUCAUUGGGUUUAAAGGGUCCGUAGGCGGCCUUAUAAGUCAGUGGUGAAAUCUCACGGCUCAACCGUGAAAUGGCCAUUGAUACUGUAGGGCUUGAAUUAUCAGGAAGUAACUAGAAUAUGUAGUGUAGCGGUGAAAUGCUUAGAUAUUACAUGGAAUACCGAUUGCGAAGGCAGGUUACUACUGGUGGAUUGACGCUGAUGGACGAAAGCGUGGGUAGCGAACA